GACGAACGCUGGCGGCGUGCUUAACACAUGCAAGUCGAACGGAAAGGCCCUGCUUUUGUGGGGUGCUCGAGUGGCGAACGGGUGAGUAACACGUGAGUAACCUGCCCUUGACUUUGGGGUAACUUCAGGAAACUGGGGCUAAUACCGGAUAGGAUCUCCUGCUGCAUUGUGGGGGUUGGAAAGUUUCGGCGGUUGGGGAUGGACUCGCGGCUGAUCAGCUUGUUGGUGGGGUAGUGGCUUACCAAGGCUUUGACGGGUAGCCGGCCUGAGAGGGUGAACGGCCACAUGGGGACUGAGAUACGGCCCAGACUCCUACGGGAGGCAGCAGUGGGGAAUAUUGCACAAUGGGCGGAAGCCUGAUGCAGCAACGCCGCGUGCGGGAUGACGGCCUUCGGGUUGUAAACCGCUUUCGCCUGUGACGAAGCGUGAGUGACGGUAAUGGGUAAAGAAGCACCGGCUAACUACGUG
rnacentral:rRNA from 1 species